GGACUCCAGAGCAAGGAGAAGAGCUGUGCAGUUGGGAUCCCGACACCGUGCAGAUUCUCCAGGACUGGCACUGAGCCCUAGUGCUCCCAGCAUUGGCACUCAGCUCUUCUUCCCACACCUCUGAGAGUAAUGAGUGGCUCUUCAUCAACAAUGAUUUUCUCCUGGAAGCCAUGCUAAGAAUUCAUAAGGCCUGGAAAGGACAAAGCAUCAACAUUGCCCAUUGACCUAAGAAUAUGUGGAAACAUCAUUUCAGACUGUGAAAGCUAAGUUUUGUAAAACAAGUUUAAACCCUGUGCUGGCUCCAGCUGUUGGACAGGAAGUGAAAUUGUGCUAAAGCAAAACAGCAGCCACCCCUAUAGACAUAAGAGUUUGGUCCAUUUCCAGUUUUUUAUUGCUACUGUCUAGACUGAAAUUAUUUGUAGAGCUAAGCUACUGAGCAGUGUUUGAAUGUUGAUUUUACAAUUGUGUUAUUUCGAGCUGUUAUUUUGUUUGUACAAAGUGGCAUUCAGUAAACGGAUAUUGAGCUUUAUACUGUUAUUAGAUCCAUUCAUAACAGCAAUAUUCCUGGUGAAUACAUUACAGCUGAACAUUCAUGUACUGCUUUACAUCUUGUGAUUCACACUAAAAAGUGAUAUGAAAACCUCCCAGCUGGAGUCUCUGCUCCAAAUGAUAGGUUAUAAAGAAGUCUUAGCACUGAGUACAGAA